rnacentral:lncRNA from 1 species
UGUUAUAGAUCUACAUUUGAACAUUGAACAAAACAUUGACCCUUUGGUGCCAUGAAUUUUUGGUUUUAUUCUCCAUUUGUAGUGUUGUGGGUUUAGGGAUUAAAUUCUGCAUAUUGAUUCGAUUAUGUAAUAGUAGGUUCCCAUUUGUAUCAAUUGCUAUAAUUGCAUUUUUUUUUUACACAACAGUAUAAAACCAAGUAUCAGGUCUUCUGUUUUUAUAAGUAAAAUAUUAUUCAAUCUUAUAGAGUAUGGACUAUAGUAGUGUUAGAGAAUCAAUAUUUGGGCUUUAUGGUUUUUGAUAACCCGAGAAUAUUUAAAGUUUAGUUAAUAUAUAAUUCUUUUUUAAUGUUAUGCAGAAAAAGCAUCAUAUAGCAUAUGAAUUACACUAUCAAGAUGGUUCAUAAAACCGGGAGAGAGAAGGGGUUCUGAAGGAGAGCUGUUUGCAAUUGUGUGAUGGAAACACAAGAUAUUAAGCUUUGCAAGGAAUAUCAAAAGGGGUCAUGGUGCUAAUGGAAUUGAUCCCUCAAAGUACUUUGCAAUAUUAUUUUCCUUAUUUCUUUUGUCUAAUAUUUGACUUGAUUGAUAUGUAAUGAGAAUUUAUCAAUAGUGGAUUGAAGUAUGUAUAUGUUUUCUUUUAUGCAAUAGUUUAUUCAAAUGUUUAUAAACUAUUUGGACUCAACACCAAAUGGCCUUGCUUAAAAAAUUAGUCUUU